UAUAUAUAUAUAUAUAUACCUAUCUAUCUCACACACUCACACAAACAUAUAUGUAUAGAGCAUGAUAUUUUGUAAGUGACGUUACAGUGUAAUAAAAAAUAAUUAACAAUUAAAAUACGUAUUCAGGAAUAUGAAAUGGCAAAAAUCGUAGCAUGUGCAUCAUUACUUUAUUUAAGCAUAAUUUGUAAUAUAUUAGAUGCCAAUGAGCAACAUAAUAAUGAUAUUAAAGAUACAAAUACAAAAUCAACAUACCAAAGUCCGGAACCAUCUGGAUUUGCUUACUUAGCAGAACAUUUUGAUGAUAGAGACAAAUUUGAUACUACUUGGGUAUUAUCAGAAGCCAAAAAAGAUAAUAUCGAUGAAGAUAUCGCAAAAUAUGAUGGAAUCUGGACUAUAGAAGAGCCUAAAAGACCUAUACAAGAUGGUGAUUUAGGUUUAAUAUUAAAAAGCAAGGCUAGGCAUGCUGCUAUUUCUACUUUAUUAAAUACUCCUUUUCAUUUCAAAGAUAAACCAUUGAUUGUACAGUAUGAAGUUAAUUUUCAAGAUGGUCAGGAAUGUGGUGGUGCAUAUCUCAAAUUAUUAACAUUAGAUUCAAAACACACAGAAUUAAAGAAUUUUCAUGAUAAAACACCAUAUACUAUUAUGUUUGGACCUGAUAAGUGUGGGAAUGAUCAUAAGCUACAUUUUAUUUUCCGCCAUAAAAAUCCUUUGAAUGGUACAAUUGAAGAAAAGCAUUGUAAAAAACCAAAGGAGAGAUUAGAGGAUUUCUUCAAAGAUAAACAACCACAUUUAUAUACUUUGAUAGUUCGACCUGAUAACACAUUUGAAAUAAAAGUUGACAAUAAAAUUGUAAAUACAGGAUCGUUAUUAGACGAUUUCACUCCUCCUGUUAAUCCACCUUUAGAAAUAGAAGAUCCAAAUGAUAAACAACCUGAUGACUGGGAUGAUAGAGAAAAGAUCUCUGAUCCAUCAGCGAUAAAACCUGAUGACUGGGAUGAAGAUGCUCCAGCUCAGAUAGUAGACGAAGAAGAUGUUAUGCCAGAUGGAUGGUUAGAAGAUGAGCCACCUAUGAUACCAAAUCCUGAUUCUGUAAAACCUGAUGAUUGGGACAUUGAUAUGGAUGGAGAAUGGGCACCUCCUGAAAUACCAAAUCCAAAAUGCUCAGAUGCUCCAGGUUGUGGCCCUUAUAAGCAGAAAAUGAAGAAGAAUCCACGUUAUAAAGGAAAAUGGUUACCUCCAUUGAUUAAUAAUCCUAAUUACAGUGGAAAAUGGAAACCUAAACUAAUUCAUAAUCCUAAUUACUUCAAUGAUGAACAUCCAUUUUUGAUGUCAUCUAUUUCUGCUAUUGGAUUUGAACUUUGGUCCAUGUCUCCUGAUAUUAUUUUUGACAAUAUUCUUAUUACUGAUAAUGAAGAUGUUGCAAAGAAAUGGUCCGAUGAAACGUUUGAAGUGAGACGAGUUAAAAUUGCUGAAGAAAGUGAAACAUUGUGGGGACGUAUGAUGCGUUCCAUGAACUACAAACCUGGCUGGUGGGCCCUUUAUUUUUGUUACUGUAUGAUACCAGUCAUAAUAUAUGUUUGGUAUUUAAUAAAACGUUCACGUGAGGAAAAAAAUGAUGGAAAAGAAGAGGACAAGCAAUGUUUAGAUAUAAAUAAAGAUUUAUUAGAUAAUGAAGAAGAGGAAGAAACUCAGGAGACAGCUAUAGAAGAAAAUAAAGAAAUUGAAAAUACAAGUGAAACAGAGGAGAUAAUUGAAUCUAAAACGGAUAAAUCUAGUGGUGAUGAUGGUCCAAGACGAAGAAAACCAAAUAAAGAAUGAUAAGCAUCAAAAUAAAUAUAAGAAAAAAUUUAUUGUUAAAGUGUUCGUCAUACUUUCACAUUCCACAUUAUGCUUGUCAUUGUGGAUAGUAGUAUUAUCAAUCACUAAAUACGCGAUGUUUUCAUUAGCAAUUUGUUCCUCGUUUAGAAAUAUGCGUGCUUCGAUUUUAAGUAUAAUUUAUCAUUAUACAAUAUAAUUCAGCAUAAUGUCUUUGUGUACACACACACAUUGACAAAAUCAUUCUGUAUAUCAAAAAAAAAAAAAAAAUAAAUAAAUAAAAAAAUAAAAUAAAAAAAAAAAAAAAUAAAAAAAAUAAAGAAACUUAUAACUGCAUAUAAGCAGUUGAAAUAAUUAAACUUGAUAUACAAUGUCACGAAGAACUGACUUUGUAUUUUUAUUACUUAUUUUCUGUGCAAUUUCAUGUACAUUACAUAAAUACUUAAAUAUAUAAAUAAAACAUAUUAGCGUAUUAAUUUAUAUUAAUAGGUAAUAUAAAAUCAUGUAGACUUGAGAAUACAAAAAGAUUGUGAAUAUAUAAUUACUGUAAACUUUGAUUAUUUGAUUGAUGUAAACAACAAUAUAAAAUAUUAAAAAUCUAGUUCACAUGUU